rnacentral:rRNA from 1 species
AGAAAAUAUGUGGGCUCAAAGGCGUUGUCCCAAGUAUAUUGGAAGCCUGGGGACUCACACUUUUGGGCUGAUCUAACGGCUGUGAAGAAACAUUUAUUCUGCUAUGGAUCCUUCGCCAUUAAAGACGGAUCGGGGAUUAGGUUCUGGGAGGAUAAGUGGCUAGGCAAUGCCACUCUCCGGGAACAACAUCCUGCCCUAUACAAUAUUGUGCGUCACAAGGAUGGUACUAUCGCCACGGUUAUGGAAUCCAUUCCGCUCAAUGUGACGUUCAGGAGAGAUUUAAUUGGUCCUAGACUUGAAUCAUGGAAACCUUGGUACAACGUCUAUCCACGGUGCAAUUGUCGCAAGGGACUGAUGUAUUUCGUUGGAACCUACACGUGA